rnacentral:rRNA from 1 species
UACAGAGGUCCCGAGCGUUGUUCGGAUUCACUGGGCGUAAAGGGUGCGUAGGUGGUUGUGCAAGUCUGAUGUGAAAUCUCCGGGCUUAACCCGGAAAUGGCAUUGGAAACUGCAUGGCUAGAGGGUUGGAGGGGGGACUGGAAUACUUGGUGUAGCAGUGAAAUGCGUAGAUAUCAAGUGGAAUACCAGUGGCGAAGGCGAGUCCCUGGACAACACCUGACACUGAGGCGCGACAGCGUGGGGAGCAAACAGG